rnacentral:misc_RNA from 1 species
GAUCCUCAUUAUUAAAGACUGCAAUAUCCUCCUUUGCCACUUGAAUUGCUUUAACCAAUUUAUCCAUCUCUCUUGAAAUAACUUCUCAUAUUUCUCUAAUUUUUAUAACAAGAAUUCUUCUUGCUUUUUUAAUCCUCCGUCGACAAUUUCCAUAAUCCUAUUAAGUUACUUUAGUUCCCAAGAUUGGUCUUUUAUGAUCUUCUUGUAGAAGGCUGGGUAAGGUGUUGGAAAAUUUUGCUUCUUAGAGAAGAAAAUUUAUCGGGGCAGGGGGAAUAAAGUUUUGGCAGAAAUAAAGAUUUCAAGAAUUUCAAGAAAGAACAGAGAAAAACCCUAAUAGUACCCAAGAAUUGGAAAAUUGGGAAUGCAAGAAUUUAGAAGUAAUUGCAGAUGAAGAUUGUGAAGAUAGAGUCGCAAGAAAGGAAGAAUAUAUGAGAAAGAGAAAUUAUGGGAAAAGGUAGAAGAACAGAAAAGAAAACUGAACAGAGGAAAGAAAAGAGAAAACAGAAGAAAGGAGAAUUUCAAGAAACAGGUUUCUU